CUACACGUUUUGCUAGUUAACCU
rnacentral:snRNA from 1 species